AUGGAAAGAGGGUGAGCCCAGCGCUUGAGGUUACCAACAGCGUAAAAAGAUGGCAGAUAAGACAGAAAGCGUCACGGGAUGAGGUCCAGGAUAACGAGAAGGAUGAGGUCGAGCUGCAAAGCUAGUAUCCGUAAUAGACAGCGGAAUUAUGAAAGUGUUGGCGUAGAACAAAUCGAAUUAGACAUCGCGUCAAGGCUGAUGUCAUCUACAGCUGGGGGUGAUUUUAUGGACUCGUAUUGAGGGUUUUUCGAUCGGAAACGGAUAUAAAUAAAGAAAAAAAU
ensembl:ncRNA lncRNA:CR45416 long non-coding RNA:CR45416